GACGAACGCUGGCGGCGUGCUUAACACAUGCAAGUCGAGCGGUAAGGCCCUUUCGGGGGUACACGAGCGGCGAACGGGUGAGUAACACGUGGGUGACCUGCCCUCAGCUCUGGGAUAAGCCUGGGAAACCGGGUCUAAUACUGGAUAUGACUCCAUGACGCAUGUUGUGGGGUGGAAAGCCUUGUGCGGCUGAGGAUGGGCCCGCGGCCUAUCAGCUUGUUGGUGGGGUGAUGGCCUACCAAGGCGACGACGGGUAGCCGGCCUGAGAGGGCGACCGGCCACACUGGGACUGAGACACGGCCCAGACUCCUACGGGAGGCAUGCAGUGGGGAAUCUUGCGCAAUGGGCGAAAGCCUGACGCAGCGACGCCGCGUGAGGGAUGACGGCCU
rnacentral:rRNA from 1 species